UUUUAUAUGGAACAUUUCGUGUGUACCUUACAGUAUGCUUCAAUUCAACGUAUCCGUAGCACCAUUACCUUGUGUUGUUCAUUCACUAAAACCUAUAAUCAAUAUGUUAACACUGUAGAUGUUCACGGCAAGUCAAUCAGAUGAAUAUAUUGGCCCCUUAAAAAUUGUAGCGAACUUUUUAUCGGUUUAGCUUUUUUUAACCUAGGUCACUGGAUGUUGCUGGAGCUGCAACUUCCCAGUUUUGGACUAAACUAUUCAGGGUGGUGCACUUAUGUUUUGCUCUAAGAUAUCGAUAUAACCCAUUUCAGUAUUGGAGUUUUGUUUAGUGAACUUUUUAGAAAUUCGGUGAUGCUUGGAAGGCUUACAAAUUUGUUUGGUUAUGUUAACGGUUAUCUCUUUCGCAGAAAUUAUACACUAUAAUAGACAGAUUCAGUUUGAGAAUAUUGAUGCUCUAGGCUUAGUUUUGGUUUUCAAUGCAGCUCCAAACAUAUGUGCUAACUUGAAGGUAUUGUGGGCUGCAGAUAUUGAGAGCGUUACUUUUUAAAGUUAUAGUAUUAUGGAUGACAGGAAGCUACCGUGUAAAUAAUGAUGUUCUUUUCUUCAAUUUUGUGUAUUGGGGUUCUUUUCUUCGAGGUAGAUAGUGAGAUUUUCAAGAAAACUGCUAAAGGCCAUAACUCUCUUGCUUCCAGACUUUGAAUCAUUUGUCAAGCUCUGCAGGGGUAAGGAAGCAUACGGCUAUUUGGUUUUAGAGUGCCUCACAAACAACACGCUACUAUCAACGUAAUACUGCACGAUAUCCAACAUAAUGAAUUCAAUGUUUUUGUGCUCAAUAAGAAAUUGGGAGUUAAAAUCACCAUCAAUGGACUGCUAAUU